rnacentral:rRNA from 1 species
GUCCUACGGGAGGCAGCAGUGAGGAAUAUUGGUCAAUGGGCGCGAGCCUGAACCAGCCAAGUCGCGUGAGGGAAGACGGUUCUAUGGAUUGUAAACCUCUUUUGUCGGGGAGAAAAAGACGCCAAGUGUGGCGUUCCGGGAGUACCCGAAGAAAAAGCAUCGGCUAACUCCGUGCCAGCAGCCGAGGUAAUACGGAGGAUGCGAGCGUUAUCCGGAUUUAUUGGGUUUAAAGGGU